rnacentral:rRNA from 1 species
UACGGGGGGGGCAAGCGUUGUUCGGAAUUACUGGGCGUAAAGGGCUCGUAGGUGGCCAACUAAGUCGGACGUGAAAUCCCUCGGCUUAACCGGGGAACUGCGUCCGAUACUGGUUGGCUUGAGUUUGGGAGAGGGAUGCGGAAUUCCAGGUGUAGCGGUGAAAUGCGUAGAUAUCGGGAGGAACACCAGUGGCGAAGGCGACUACCUGGCCUGUUCUUGACGCUGAGGCGCGAAAGCUAGGGGAGCAAACGGG